AUGCGCAUAUGUCCCAGUCCUGCCUGCAGGAAGGAGAGCCAGAGGAUUUCUCUACACCAACAGAAACAGCAAGGACCGGUUCAGAUCUGCAGCUUAAGUGCGGCUUCAGCCCCUUCCUGUUUAACGGGUUUUGGGGGUUUUCCGGGUCCGUGGACGGUCGUAGAGAGGAGCGGCUGCAUCUUCAGGGGAGAACAAGUGUGUGAGGCUUCAAGCGUCCACCUCAAGGGACGUAGCAUUGUCAUGCGUGGGAUGAACUCUGGCACGGUUCACUUCAGUGUGAAUGCAGGCGCACUGUCCACAGAGAGGAAACGGAUGGCCACAGUGUGAAUCUGGAGAAGCAGGAAACCAUAAAGAGGUUUGGAAAUGCAUGCUGGGUAAUGGAGGAGCAGUGAGAAGCUGCAGGAGCUUCUUCGCACCUGACAGUCAGAGGAAGAGGAGGAUCAGUCAUCGUUUUGGAACAAACUCUUCAUUCCUUUCAUGUCAGAGCUUCUCAUAACUGACAUUAAUGGACUUUUCUCUUUUCACUAAAAGACGGAGAAGUAAAGUUUGUUUACAUUAUUGCAAAACAAAGAAAAAAUGAAUGAAAGGAAUUUGGAGCAGCAGUGCUGUGGUCUGAACUCCUCUUGAACUUCUGGGAUGAUCCAUAUUUAAUAACACCGUCCUCCUGGACUCCAGUGUUACAGAGCUUAGGCACACAGCAAACACCGCGACCCCCACCCGGGGUGGUGCACGUGUGCAGAAACAUGAUGGUCCCACCGCGUGUUUGGGAGAAAAUAACAACAGACCGAGGUGAAGGACGUGGAGGAGAGAUCCUCGUCUCCACAGGGGGGAAGUAAAAAAAAAUGUGCGCUCUUUGAAGGCUGUGAGAGCUGUCAGAGCUCACGGCGCUCUGACAGCAGCUUUGUCAACAGCUAUUGUGCAUCAUGGCGUCCUUCUGUUGAAACAUCAGUCAGAGCGCUGAGGGGGGGCGCCGGCCUGAACCUUCCUUCAGCAGAACCGUCCUGUAGCAGAACAUUCCUGCAGCAGAACCGUUCUGUAGCAGAACCGUUCUGUAGCAGAACCUUCCUGCAGCAGAACCUUCCUGCAGCAGAACCUUCCUGUAGCAGAACCGUUCUGCAGCAGAACCGUUCUGUAGCAGAACCGUUCUGUAGCAGAACCUUCCUGCAGCAGAACCGUUUUGUAGCAGAACCUUCCUGCAGCAGAACCUUCCGGCAGCAGAACCGUUCUGUAGCAGAACCAUUCUGUAGCAGAACCUUCCGGCAGCAGAACCGUUCUGUAGCAGAACCAUUCUGUAGCAGAACCUUCCGGCAGCAGAACCGUUCUGUAGCAGAACCAUUCUGUAGCAGAACCUUCC
rnacentral:lncRNA from 1 species